UUUGCUUGCUUGGCUAGCGUCGUAGCUCGUCUACUGCAUAACUGUUUGAUUAUGCGGAUGAAGGCUGCGUGGAAAACGGUUUAUUCACCUGUCGUUGUGUUCCAAAAUCAUAAGGCUUUAAUGCGGAGGGUUAUAGUUAGCCAAUUUCUCUCUUUCACGAGCAGGGAUUUGUUGCUUUGUUGACACUACAGGGAAGUUUACUGGUUUAAAGAAAGUUGUGGCUAGAGCAUAGGCAAUAAGGCAACAGCUACUACAAGUAUGCAUGAUAGCUGAUAUCAGCCGCAAAUCGUGCGUGUGUAGUAGUUCCAGAGACCGUUUAGUUCUAGUGUGACUGUGUGAUAUUGUACUCUGUAGUAUGUGCAGCAUUUCCGAAGACUGGUUGGUUUAUAUUUUUAUUAAUGUAAAUGAAAUAUGUAAAGUUGUUGUGUGCACUACAGUAGUGAGACAAAAGCCUUUCAUACAUUUAGUUAAGGUUGCCUGUAUGUUUUGAAGGUGUGUCUGGAAAGCCCUGUAACGUUUUGUCUUUAAAAAAAAAAAAAAAUCUCUUCUGCUCUGGAUAAGAUGGAUGUCUUUCCUCUGACCUGUUACCAAGACAGCUGGAUGUGUAGGAAGCUGGAACUAAGUCACUGAAGAAGUAAACCUAUGAAAACCGAUUUGGAUUGUCUGAGAGAUGUAAUUGACUGAGUUCAGGACAAAUGUGUCAACUAUAUUGUAGGCCUAUUACUUAAACAAUAAAAUCACAAUAACUGUUUAUUUUUUGGCUGUAGGACACAAGUAAAAGGAGAAGAAUGCUGCUCAGCUGGGUCGGUGAAGCUCUUGGAUAUCAUCAGCAUCUAUGAAGGCACCGGUAGGCACAGAGUCAUUCCGGUAGGCACGGAGUCGUUCCUCGAUGGACGUGAUGACCUGGCACCAAAACCGCUUAAUGUGUAUGAAGCUGUCUGCAUCGAGGGAAGAACCCAGUACUGAAAUGACACAAGUAAAAGGAGAAGAAUGCUGCUCAGCUGGGUCGGCGGUCACACUACUUAUUCAAGAAGCUCUUGGAUAUCAUUGGCAUGUAUGCAGUAAGUUUUUUAUAUCAAUGCACAACAGCAGGCGUUAAUGCACACACACACACACACACACACACACACACACACACACACACACACACACACACACACAAUGAGAGCUGGCCUGAUAUUGUUCUUUGAUUCUGUGAAUGUGUAUGGAAUGCCUACUGUCUGGUGUCAAUUCAGACAAUUUUGCAACGGUUUACUGUAUGUUCUGUCUAUUUGUCUGCCAAACUCUCAAACUUGUUGUCUUU